AUGGGAGAUGGUGGCUGGUUCCGGUGGCGUGGUCGGGUUGAAUACGGAUUGUGGAGCAAGAUUGUGAUGUGGAUUGUGUCUAAAGAAGGGGCUGGAUUGACACACUUCAGAGCUGAUCACGAUUGGGGUUUGGCAUCUCAGAAGGCAACAUCAAGGCAGCAUCUCAGGAAACAUACAAAUCCAGAAGGCAACACGAAAGUGGAAGAGAUAAAGAUAUCAAGGCAACACGAAAGUGGAAGAGAUAAAGAUAUCAAGGCAACACGAGAGAAGGAGAAGCAGAAACAAAUCAUAGGCAAAGGGACAUAA